AUUUGCUUCGAUGUUGUUUUUUCCCUCCCUUGAAUUAUUAGAGACACAGACUCACUCUGUCACCCAGGCUGGAGUGCAGUGGUGCAGUUAUAGCUCACUAUAGCCUCGACCUCCUGGACUCAAGUGAUCCUCCCACCUCAGUCUCCCGAGUAGUCAGGACUACAGGUAUGGCAGGCUAAGUUUUAAAAAUUUUGUAGAGAUGGGAUCUCACUAUGUUGCCUAGGCUGGUCUCCAAAUCCUGGCCUCAAGCAGUCCUCCCUCCAUGGCCUCCUAAAGUGCUCGGAGUAGAAUUGAGAGCCACCGUACCUGGCUGCUCCAAAAUGCUUUUUUAUGCCUCCCCUACUUAGUGUUUUACACUGUUCCACAGAAUAUCGGAAUCUAGAAUUUGUUCCAGCAUAAAGUGAAAGAUAUGAAUCAACUUUCAUUUUUCCUCAUCAAUUCAUCCAUAUUUUUAGCAGAAUUUAUUAAAUAUGAUUCCUCUUUGGUUUUGCUGUCUUCUGUUCAUUGAAUAGAAUUUUUUCUAUAAUUUGGGAAUUUCUGGCAUAUUUAUUG
rnacentral:lncRNA from 10 species